GCGGCCAUAGUUAAAUGGUAUAAUGGAAGCUUGCCAUGCUUCGGUUGCGGGUUCAAUUCCCGCUGGCCGCUCCA
rnacentral:tRNA from 1 species